UACACACGGAUAACAUACCGAAAGGUAUGCUAAUACGGGAUAAUAUAUUUGAGAGGCAUCUCUUAAAUAUCAAAGGUGAGCCAGUACAGGAUGGACCCGCGUCUGAUUAGCUAGUUGGUAAGGUAACGGCUUACCAAGGCAACGAUCAGUAGCCGACCUGAGAGGGUGAUCGGCCACAUUGGAACUGAGACACGGUCCAAACUCCUACGGGAGGCAGCAGUGGGGAAUAUUGCACAAUGGGCGAAAGCCUGAUGCAGCAACGCCGCGUGAGUGAUGAAGGCCUUCGGGUCGUAAAACUCUGUCCUCAAGGAAGAUAAUGACGGUACUUGAGGAGGAAGCCCCGGCUAACUACGUGCCAGCAGCCGCGGUAAUACGUAGGGGGCUAGCGUUAUCCGGAUUUACUGGGCGUAAAGGGUGCGUAGGCGGUCUUUCAAGUCAGGAGUGAAAGGCUACGGCUCAACCGUAGUAAGCUCUUGAAACUGGGAGACUUGAGUGCAGGAGAGGAGAGUGGAAUUCCUAGUGUAGCGGUGAAAUGCGUAGAUAUUAGGAGGAACACCAGUUGCGAAGGCGGCUCUCUGGACUGUAACUGACGCUGAGGCACGAAAGCGUGGGGAGCAAACAGGAUUAAAUACCCUGGUAGUCCACGCUGUAAACGAUGAGUACUAGGUGUCAGGGGUUACCCCCUUCGGUGCCGCAG
rnacentral:rRNA from 1 species